UACGAAGGGGGCUAGCGUUGCUCGGAAUUACUGGGCGUAAAGCGCACGUAGGCGGCUUCUAAGUCGGGGGUGAAAUCCUGGAGCUCAACUCCAGAACUGCCUCGAUACUGGAGAGCUCGAGUCCGGGAGAGGUGAGUGGAACUCCGAGUGUAGAGGUGAAAUUCGUAGAUAUUCGGAAGAAGCACCAGUGGCGAAGGCGGCUC
rnacentral:rRNA from 1 species